rnacentral:rRNA from 1 species
CCUACGGGUGGCUGCAGUGAGGAAUAUUGGUCAAUGGGCGCGAGCCUGAACCAGCCAAGUAGCGUGAAGGAUGACUGCCCUAUGGGUUGUAAACUUCUUUUAUAUGGGAAUAAAAUGUACCACGUGUGGGCUUUUGUAUGUACCAUAUGAAUAUGGACCGGCUAAUUCCGUGUCAGCAGCCGCGGUAAUACGGGAGGUCCGGGAGUUAUCCGGAUUUAUUGGGUUUAAAGGGAGAGUAGGCCGGUCUUUAAGCGUGCCGUGAAAUUUUGUGGCUCAACAAUGGGAGUGCGGCGCGAACUGGAGACCUUGAGUGCGCGGAAGGCAGGCGGAAUUCGUGGUGUAGCGGUGAAAUGCUUAGAUAUCACGAAGAACCCCGAUUGCGAAGGCAGCCUGCCGCAGCGUUACUGACGCUGAAGCUCGAAAGCGCGGGUAUCGAACAGGAUUAGAUACCCUAGUAGUC